GGACUACCGGGGUAUCUAAUCCUGUUUGAUCCCCACGCUUUCGUGCCUCAGCGUCAUUGACACCAUAGUAAGCUGCCUUCGCAAUCGGUGUUCUGAGACAUAUCUAUGCAUUUCACCGCUACUUGUCUCAUUCCGCCUACCUCUAGUGUAAUCAAGCUCAUCAGUAUCAAAGGCACUGCGAUAGUUAAGCUACCGUCUUUCACCUCUGACUUAAUAAGCCGCCUACGCACCCUUUAAACCCAAUAAAUCCGGAUAACGCUUGGAUCCUCCGUAUUACCGCGGCUGCUGGCAC
rnacentral:rRNA from 1 species